GAUGAACGCUAGCGGCAGGCCUAAUACAUGCAAGUCGAACGGUGUAGCAAUACACAGUGGCGCACGGGUGCGUAACACGUAUGCAACCUACCUAUUAUUGGGGGAUAGCCUUUGGAAACGGAGAUUAAUACCGCAUAAGACAGUAACAUGGCAUCAUGUAGCUGUUAAAGCUUCGGCGAUGAUAGAUGGGCAUGCGUCCAAUUAGUUAGUUGGUGAGGUAAUGGCUCACCAAGACGAUGAUUGGUAGGGGAUCUGAGAGGAUAAUCCCCCACACUGGCACUGAGAUACGGGCCAGACUCCUACGGGAGGCAGCAGUAGGGAAUAUUGGGCAAUGGACGGAAGUCUGACCCAGCCAUGCCGCGUGCAGGACGACGGCGUUAUGCGUUGUAAACUGCUUUUUUAUAGGAAGAAGGAGACCUUGCGAGGUUUGGUGACGGUACUAUAAGAAUAAGCACCGGCUAACUCCGUGCCAGCAGCCGCCGUAACAC
rnacentral:rRNA from 1 species